rnacentral:rRNA from 1 species
UACUAGAGUAGCACUCGCAUAUCAAUAAGCGGAGGAAAAGAAACUAACAAGGAUUCCCCUAGUAACGGCGAGUGAAGUGGGAAGAGCUCAAAUUUGAAAUCUUAAAGGGUUUCCCUUUACGAAUUGUAGUUUAAAGAAGUGUUUUCUGUUGAGGUUUUGGUAAAAGUUCUUUGGAAUAGGACAUCAUAGAGGGUGAGAAUCCCGUAUUUGACCUUUACUUUCAACUUUGUGAUACACUUUCAAAGAGUCGGAUUGUUUGGGAAUGCAGUCCAAAAUGGGUGGUAAAUUUCAUCUAAAGCUAAAUAUUGGCGAGAGACCGAUAGCGAACAAGUACCGUGAGGGAAAGAUGAAAAGAACUUUGAAAAGAGAGUUAAACAGUACGUGAAAUUGUCAAAAGGGAAGCGUUUGACACCAGUGUUGUUUUUCUGAAAAUCAAUUAAAGAACUGUUUAUGCUAAGCUGUUUAGACUUUAUCAGCUAAUCUGUUUAGUUUUGAGCUUUUCUUUAAUGCACUUUUCAGUUAACAAGUCAACAUCAAUUUCUUUUGCUGUAAAAAAGCUUGAGGAAGGUGGCUUGAGAUUCGUCUUAAGUGUUUAUAGCCUCUUGCCUAUGCAGUCGGAGAGAUUGAGGUCUGCAGCGUAGAUCCUUCGGGGCUAAAUGCAUUUGUGCUAAGUUAUAGCAUUUUAUAGACAACUUGUUGACUAUGAUUUAUCUUGUAGCUUACUCGCUUAUGUUAUUUUACCUACGCUUAGGAUGUUGAACUACUGAGACAUAGA